rnacentral:tRNA from 1 species
AAUGAAGUGCCUGAGUAAAGGGUUAUCGUGAUAGGAUAAAUAAUGUAUACUAAUACCUUCAUUA